rnacentral:lncRNA from 1 species
GCCGUUUCUUGUGCAAAUACUAAAAAACUAAUUUGUACAAAAGAUUUUAAAUUCGAAGUCUAAUAACUUCACAUUUUCAAUUAAGUUUGUUUCUUAAAAAACUGGCAAGUUGCACGUUUUGUCCUCGAACUAUGUCGUGGGUGAUAUUUUGAUGCUCAAACUUUAUUUUGUUAUAAUUUUUGACUCAAAUUUUCAAUCAAAAUUUACAACCUAAUUUAGUUAAAACAAUUAUGAACAUUCGAAUAUGAAAUUGCGACAAAUAAAAUUUAAAACUAAA